rnacentral:rRNA from 1 species
GAUGAACGCUGGCGGCGUGCCUAACACAUGCAAGUCGGGGGGCAGGGUAAUCCGGGCCCGGCGAGCGGGGCCGGAACACGCGAACGACCUGCGCUGGUGUCGGGGUUAACUGGCCCAACGGCCGGGUAGUACGGCAAAUGGCGCCCACCUCUAAUCUGGACGCCCACUUCGCAUGAGGCGUUAGGAGGGGUUGGCUGCUUAUCAGCUAGUUUGUGCGGUUACGGCGCACCCAGGCGAUGACGGGUAGCUGGUGUGAGGGGAUGGCCAGCAACAUUGGGACUGCGCGGAGGCCCAGACUACUACGGGAGGCAGCAGUGGGGAAUAUUGCGCGAUGGGCGAACGCCUGACGCCGCGACGCCGCGUGGAGGAUGAGGCCCUUCGGGGUGUAAACUCCGGUUGCGCGGGAAGAAUGCCUCGCAUCGGCGGGGUUGACGGUACCGGAUGAAGAAGCACCGGCUAACUCUGUG